AUUUAGCUAGUUUAAGUUUGGCACUUUUAUAUGCAGUUAAUAGAAAUUCACCCUCCACAUCACUAAGUUUGCUACCAAUCUUUGAAUAUUUUUUGUGGAGCAUUCUAAUUUCAUCAUCAGUGAAUGUACUCGGAGGCUCUUUCUUUGUUUCAGGGCCAUCUUCUCCUGGUUCCUGCUGUCUUUUUGAGUCCUGAAGGGAUGAAAUCUGCAGCUUUUCCUGAGAUGACAUGCCAGCAACAUUUUCUGUUGAGUUAUUCUCAGAGACGUCUAUCACGUCAGAUACUGCUGGUGAAACCUUGGAGGAAUAUUUACCUUUAAACAGGGCCAUCUUCUCCUGGUUCCUGCUGUCUUUUUGAUUCCUGAAGGGAUGAAAUCUGCAGCUUUUCCUGAGAUGACAUGCCAGCAACAUUUUCUGUUGAGUUAUUCUCAGAGACGUCUAUCACGUCAGAUACUGCUGGUGAAACCUUCGAGGAAUAUUUACCUUUAAACAGAGCCGUUGAACUUCAAGAUCAAUCAAUACACUUGGAUGCUGUGGUUCAGUUUCUGUUUGCUGGUGUUUUGAGUCUUCAGAGGAAUAACUUUGCUGUCCCAAAGUUGCCAGCAACAUGGUUCCUAUGCCAGCAACAUUGUUCUGUAUUGUAGAGUGUUUCUCAGUGACAGAGACGUCUGUCACAUCUGAUGAAGACUGUGAAUCCUCUCCAAAACAUUUACCUUUGCAAAGCUUACUGAUAUGAUACUUGGAUCUGGCACCCUUAGAUUUUUUAGGUACAGCAAACUCUUCCUUUUCUGCAUCUUUCCCUUCCUGUUCAGACUCAUCUUUGAUAUGUCCUGAUAUGUCAUUUUCUUUUGCUAAUUUUGUCCCACACUUCAGCUGUAUGGGAAUAAUUUCUCCAAGGUACUGUUCCAAAA